UACGGAGGGGGCUAGCGUUGUUCGGAAUUACUGGGCGUAAAGCGCACGUAGGCGGCUUUGUAAGUUAGAGGUGAAAGUCCAGGGCUUAACCCUGAAAUUGCCUUUAAGACUGCAUCGCUAGAAUCGUGGAGAGGUGAGUGGAAUUCCGAGUGUAGAGGUGAAAUUCGUAGAUAUUCGGAAGAACACCAGUGGCGAAGGCGACUCACUGGACACGUAUUGACGCUGAGGUGGCGAAAGCGUGGGGAGCAAACACGG
rnacentral:rRNA from 1 species